GUUUUCUAUUUUGCGCUUUUGUUGCUGCUGCUGCUGCUGCGACUGUUCUGCACGGCACUGCUGGUCGGCUCGGCUCGGCUCGGUCCGCGGGUUCUAUGAUGCGCUCGCGGCGGCUGCUGAAGUAAACUUGACGACAAAAUAAACCAACGGUUUUCCUCGCAGUCGCCGUCGCCGUCGCCGUCGCCGUCGCCGUAGCAGUCGCAGUCGCAGUUAAAAAUAGCAAACCGAGCAU
rnacentral:sRNA from 1 species